rnacentral:lncRNA from 1 species
UUACGUCAUUUAAACUAAAUUUGGGUCAUCCAAGAUCAUAUCAAUCACACUACAGACCUUUCUAUUGACUACGCAUCUAGAGUGGAAGAUGGUUUCCCUCUAAUCGUUGUCAUUGGGCUUAACUUGCAUGUUCAUAUCUCGUUGUACCACAAACACAUCUCCUUAUACUGGCUAUGCGAUAUUUUCUUUACUUACGCCCACUGAUGGUAGGUAUUCCUGCUCAUUACUACUCUCAUGAUCACUGACGAUAUCUUCAUCAUUUCUGAUGAAUAUGACACAUUGAUUGGGACAUUGGGAUGCAAUAUGCCCAACGUCUAC